AUUGAACGCUGGCGGCAUGCCUUACACAUGCAAGUCGAACGGCAGCACGGGUGCUUGCACCUGGUGGCGAGUGGCGAACGGGUGAGUAAUACAUCGGAACGUACCUUAUCGUGGGGGAUAACGCAGCGAAAGCUGUGCUAAUACCGCAUACGCCCUGAAGGGGAAAGCGGGGGAUCGCAAGACCUCGCGCGAUUAGAGCGGCCGAUGCCUGAUUAGCUUGUUGGUGGGGUAAAAGCCCACCAAGGCGACGAUCAGUAGCUGGUCUGAGAGGACGAUCAGCCACACUGGGACUGAGACACGGCCCAGACUCCUACGGGAGGCAGCAGUGGGGAAUUUUGGACAAUGGGGGCAACCCUGAUCCAGCAAUGCCGCGUGAGUGAAGAAGGCCUUCGGGUUGUAAAGCUCUUUUGUCAGGGAAGAAACACCGGCUCUAACACAGUCCGGGAAUGACGGUACCUGAAGAAUAAGCACCGGCUAACUACGUGCCAGCCGCCGCUGUAA
rnacentral:rRNA from 1 species